rnacentral:rRNA from 1 species
UAGGGAAUCUUCGGCAAUGGGGGCAACCCUGACCGAGCAACGCCGCGUGAGUGAAGAAGGUUUUCGGAUCGUAAAGCUCUGUUGUAAGUCAAGAACGAGUGUGAGAGUGGAAAGUUCACACUGUGACGGUAGCUUACCAGAAAGGGACGGCUAACUACGUGCCAGCAGCCGCGGUAAUACGUAGGUCCCGAGCGUUGUCCGGAUUUAUUGGGCGUAAAGCGAGCGCAGGCGGUUUGAUAAGUCUGAAGUUAAAGGCUGUGGCUCAACCAUAGUUCGCUUUGGAAACUGUCAAACUUGAGUGCAGAAGGGGAGAGUGGAAUUCCAUGUGUAGCGGUGAAAUGCGUAGAUAUAUGGAGGAACACCGGUGGCGAAAGCGGCUCUCUGGUCUGUAACUGACGCUGAGGCUCGAAAGCGUGGGGAGCGAACAGGAUUAGAUACCCUGGUAGUCCACGCCGUNNCGAUGAGUGCUAGGUGUUGGAUCCUUUCCGGGANUCAGUGCCGCAGCUAANGCANUANCACUCCGCCUGGGGGAGUACGACCGCAAGGUU